AUGGACGCUUGUCAUGGCGGAACGUCGCGGUCGAUGACUCGUUAGAAACGACCAUGCUCAACGGCGAUUUGCGACACCAAGACGUGUAUUCGCUGUCCUAUUCUGAUCGGCUAACCGGUGGUUGCGCGAAGUCGGACAAUAUGCCACCAGAAGUUUGCGCAAGGUGUCGUUAACUUCACUGCUUCGAGCCACCAUUGUGUCGGAUCUUUCCCACCAAGCUGACGAGCGAACAAGUUUUGUGGAUUUUGCUUUCAGGUAGCAAAUACAAGUUCCCUGACAGACAUUGCAGUGCUGACCACACAGUGAGCCAAGCAUACCAUAAGAAGUGCUCAUUCAGCAUCUUGGACUAACUCAAAGGAAGCACCUCUCAAAAGCAGUGAUAUAAGGAGUUGAGCCACAAGUUCUUUUCAACGAAUGGAUCAGAUGCCCUGAGAACCACUGGCCGGCUGCUUCUGGACUACACAGACAGUACAGCCGCCACAGUAAAGUUCUUGCAAAGACAAAGGGCAAUACAGAUGGACACACAGAAGCCAAUGGGAUGCCUCAGACACUGUGACUGAGCAUUAACUUACAAACAGAAAGGAGCCAAGUGGAGCUGUUCAGGGACCGUGAACACAGUUUUAUAAGCGGCUUUUCAGCACUGUUGACAAUUAUGUUUCUCAAUACAUCGGCCAAAGUUGUGUUCAUAGAA